rnacentral:rRNA from 1 species
UACGUAGGGGGCAAGCGUUGUCCGGAAUCAUUGGGCGUAAAGAGCGCGUAGGCGGCCCUGUAAGUCCGCUGUGAAAGUCAAGGGCUCAACCCUUGAAUGCCGGUGUAUACUGCAGGGCUAGAGUCCGGAAGAGGCGAGUGGAAUUCCUGGUGUAGCGGUGAAAUGCGCAGAUAUCAGGAGGAACACCGAUGGCGAAGGCAGCUCGCUGGGACGGUACUGACGCUGAGGCGCGAAAGCGUGGGGAGCGAACAGG